AUUUUCCCAAAUCCCAAAACUCUAACCAUGGCUUUUCGCGGUGGAGCUUCCCUGUCAAGAUCUCUGAUCUCCGCCGCAAGAACCUCCGCCGUCCGAUCAUCUCCGUCGCUCGCAUCCCUUCCUCGCUCUCCUCCCCUCCAUAAUCUCGCCUCCGCCACUCGCCGGAGCCUCUUCUCUCUCCCCGCCAAUGUGGGACAGCUGGCCUGCGCUCAGUCGCUGCUGCCGCUCCACAGCGCCGUCGCCUCCGUUCGUAUGACCAGUCACAUCUCCGGCGAAGCGCGCGCUUUCUGCGAGCUGUCUCAGGGUUCGUGACUAAUUGUACUUGAGCAUACUUGGGUUGGAUCAACACAGCAAGAGUUGCUGCAUUAGGUGGGGCUAGUAGUGUGUCCAAGAAGGGAGGAUUCCAUGCUCAUUAUCUUGAUAAGGUUGCAUAGGAAGUGAUUUCAGAGUGUAGUGAUAAGGUUUUUUUCACAACUAUUUUGUACUUUUCGUUCCAUUUGACUUGUAGAGGCUGUUAUUUUUAGAUGACAAGAUCAUACAAUUUACUUGUCUGAUCUUCUUUUCUCCUUCGUAUUUAUUGGGUCUAACUCGUGAGAUUCAAAGAGAAAUAAAUUUAUUAUGUUC